rnacentral:rRNA from 1 species
UACGUAGGGUGCAAGCGUUGUCCGGAAUUAUUGGGCGUAAAGAGCUCGUAGGCGGUUUGUUGCGUCGGCUGUGAAAUCCCGAGGCUCAACCUCGGGUCUGCAGUCGAUACGAGCAAACUAGAGUGUUGCAGGGGAGACUGGAAUUCCUGGUGUAGCGGUGAAAUGCGCAGAUAUCAGGAGGAACACCGGUGGCGAAGGCGGGUCUCUGGGCAACGAUUGACGCUGAGGCACGAAAGCGUGGGGAUCAAACAGG